GAUAAACGCUGGCGGCGUGCCUAACACAUGCAAGUCGAACGCCCUUAGCAAUAAGGGAGUGGCGGACGGGUGAGGAACACGUGGGUCACCUACCCUUUGGUGAGGAAUACCGGCGAGAAAUCGCCGACAAUACCGCAUAUGUUUCGCAAGAAACAAAGCCCGCAAGGGCGCCAGAGGAUGGGCCUGCGUCCGAUUAGCCAGUUGGUGGAGUAAAGGCCUACCAAAGCGACGAUCGGUAGCUGGUCUGAGAGGACGAUCAGCCACACUGGGAUUGCGAGCGGCCCAGACUCCUACGGGGGGAAGCAGUGAGGAAUUUUCGGCAAUGGGCGCAAGCCUGACCGAGCAACGCCGCGUGCAGGAUGACGGCCUUCGGGUUGUAAACUGCUUUUCUCUGGGACGAGAUCGGACGGUACCAGAGGAACAAGCCCCGGCUAACUACGUGCCAGCCGCCGCGGUAACAC
rnacentral:rRNA from 1 species